GUAAUGUGAAACACGUCCGUAGGUUUUGGUUUAUGAUACGGCCGUGUUCUGGUGAUGCGACCGUAAGUACAGUAGUGAGGGGUUGCUGGUUUCAGCACAUUGAAUAGAGGUUAGACGGUGGUUUAUGGUGUCGGUUAAGCCUCGAGGGUUGCGGCCAUAAAAUUAUAAGUAAAAUAUUUACUUCACCCCGAUUAAAGGUAAAGCAGACCCUGGUUUAUGGUGUCGGUUUUGAGCCUCGGGGACGAGCAUCACUUCUGUUUUAUGAUGCGAUUUUGCCCCGUGGUGGCGGUCAUAAGCGCAGUGAAAGGGGUACAUGGUGUAUGGUGCGGUUGUGCUUCGGAAGAGUUCUAACAGUUGAGUUCAGAGGUUUCUGUGUAAAUUUCCGCUGAUGAAAAGCGCUCUCUGUGGGUCUCACUGCUGGUGAAGCGCGCUCUGGGCGUUGUAUGUGUGAGGCGCGCUCUGGGUGCAGUUCUGUGUGUGGGGCGCGCUCUGUGUGUGUGAAGCGUGAACACAGUGACAGUGGCGGUUGAUGUGUGAUUAGGAGGACACUAGAGUAAAGACACAUUUUAGGAUCAAAGGUUGAUACCUAGUGUACCUGUGGAAAUUAAGUUUGUCCUGGGGUUGGCUCCCCCACCGUGUGUCGGACGCAACGCACGGACCAGCGGCGUCUGGAGGUCCAGGUUUAUCACCUGAGAACUCAGGGCCCUCAAACGAUAACAGAAUAACACUGGAACGGCCGUGUAAUCACGGGUUCACAUUUAUUCUGGACUAGACCAAGACACAUUUUGCGAUCAAAGGUUGAGCUCUAGAGUAGUCAAAUAAAAAGGUUGAAUUCCUCGUUUCAGUGGUUGAAAUUGUUGUGUGCCUGUCCCCUGACGAGUGUGAAAUUAAAUAAAGAGGGAAUUUGGAGCCACAUAGAGAUAGACGGGCAUAAUUGGGUGUAUUACUCUGUGGUGUAAUUAAAAAAUAAAAAAUAAAAAAAAAAGGAGAGAGAGAGAGUAAGAGGUCUGUAGUGGAGAAUUAUUGAGAAGUAGAGAGAGGAAUAUGUUGGGAGACGGGCAUGCAGUUUGCGCUGUCAAGGUGGGCGUGUUGCCUGCUUAUCUGUUUAACAGUGAUGAAAAUGAUAUUAAAUAAAUCUCUUAGUGUGUUAAUACAGGAAGCUACGGACCUGGACCAACUGCCCCCACAAGCACAGCGGCCGAAGCAAAAUUAUAAGUAAUGGGAACCACACCCAGCACAAUUCAGCAGCUGUGAAACAGACAGCAGUGAGGAGAGAAUUAGAGGAGAAAUUAAGAGAAGUUUUAACACAAAAUUGGGGCCAACAGACUUGUGGAGGUUGGGAAGGCGUCCGGAGCAUCACAACAAAAGGUGAAACGAAAACACACACAAGCAGAGAAGCGUGAGGGAAAGGCUCCUUUUAAGGUAAUGCCUAGUUUGAGAAAAAGUUAAAAUUAACCUGCCUACAAAUGCACACACAUGCAAUGAAAAACAGCUUACACUCAUGAACAUGUGAAGAUUUUCCAGCAAGGUUAAAGCAGCA
ensembl:lncRNA